CACUCCUGCGGGAGGCAGCAGUGGGGAAUAUUGCACAAUGGGCGCAAGCCUGAUGCAGCCAUGCCGCGUGUAUGAAGAAGGUCUUCGGGUUGUAAAGUACUUUCAGCGGGGAGGAAGGCGAUAAGGUUAAUAACCUUGUCGAUUGACGUUACCCGCAGAAGAAGCACCGGCUAACUCCGUGCCAGCAGCCGCGGUAAUACGGAGGGUGCAAGCGUUAAUCGGAAUUACUGGGCGUAAAGCGCACGCAGGCGGUCUGUCAAGUCGGAUGUGAAAUCCCCGGGCUCAACCUGGGAACUGCAUUCGAAACUGGCAGGCUAGAGUCUUGUAGAGGGGGGUAGAAUUCCAGGUGUAGCGGUGAAAUGCGUAGAGAUCUGGAGGAAUACCGGUGGCGAAGGCGGCCCCCUGGACAAAGACUGACGCUCAGGUGCGAAAGCGUGGGGAGCAAACAGGAUUAGAUACCCCAGUAGUCCCAUG
rnacentral:rRNA from 1 species